UACGUAGGGGGCAAGCGUUGUCCGGAUUCAUUGGGCGUAAAGAGCGUGUAGGCGGCCAGGUAGGUCGGUUGUGAAAACUGGAGGCUCAACCUUCAGACGUCGACCGAAACCAUCUGGCUAGAGUCCGGGAGAGGGGCGUGGAAUUCCGGGUGUAGUGGUGAAAUGCGUAGAGAUCCGGAGGAACCCCAGAGGCGAAGGCGGCGCCCUGGCUCGCAACUGACGCUCAGACACGACAGCAUGGGGAGCGAACGGG
rnacentral:rRNA from 1 species